UCGGUCUUGCUGCACCCUUGUCUUUUGCGUACCGUAUGUUUCCUCGGCGGGCUUGCCYGCCGGUUGGACAUUAUCAAACCUUUUUGUAGUUGCAAUCAGCGUCAGAAAACAAACAAUAAUUACAACUUUCAACAACGGAUCUCUUGGUUCUGGCAUCGAUGAAGAACGCAGCGAAAUGCGAAAAGUAGUGUGAAUUGCAGAAUUCAGUGAAUCAUCGAAUCUUUGAACGCACAUUGCGCCCCUUGGUAUUCCAUGGGGCAUGCCUGUUCGAGCGUCAUUUUGUACCCUCAAGCACUGCUUGGUGUUGGGCGUUUGUCCUGCAAAGGACUCGCCUGAAAGCGAUUGGCGGCCAACGUACUGGUGGUAGAGCGCAGCACAAUUUGCGUCUCUCCCUUCUACGUCGGCGUCCAUGAAGCCUUUUUUCAACGUUUGACCUCGGAUCAGGUAGGGAUACCCGCUGAACUUAAGCAUAUCAAUAGSCSG
rnacentral:rRNA from 1 species